UACGUAGGGUGCGAGCGUUGUCCGGAAUUAUUGGGCGUAAAGGGCUCGUAGGCGGUUUGUCGCGUCGGGAGUGAAAACUCAGGGCUUAACCCUGAGCCUGCUUCCGAUACGGGCAGACUAGAGGUAUGCAGGGGAGAACGGAAUUCCUGGUGUAGCGGUGAAAUGCGCAGAUAUCAGGAGGAACACCGAUGGCGAAGGCGGUUCUCUGGGCAUUACCUGACGCUGAGGAGCGAAAGUGUGGGGAGCGAACAGG
rnacentral:rRNA from 1 species